rnacentral:rRNA from 1 species
GAUGAACGCUGGCGGCGUGCCUAAUACAUGCAAGUCGAGCGAACAGACGAGGAGCUUUCUCCUCUUACGUUAGCGGCGGACGUGUGAGUAACACGUGGAUAACCUACCUAUCAGACUUGGAUAACUUCGGGAAACCGUAGCUAAUACCGGAUAAUAUAUUUAACCGCAUUGUUCAUUAGUUAAAGACGGUUUUGCUGUCACUUAUAGAUGGAUCCGCGCCGCAUUAGCUAGUUGGUAAGGUAACGGCUUACCAAGGCAACGAUGCGUAGCCGAAGUGAGAGAGUGAUCGGCCACACGGGAACAGAGAAACGGACAAGACUACUAAGGGAGGCAGCAGGAGGGAAUCUGCCGAAAUGGACGAAAGCCUGAAGGAGCAACGCCGCGUGAGUGAUGAAGGUCUUCGGAUAGUAAAACUCUGUUAUGAGGGAAGAAAAAAGGUGUAAGUAAAUAUGCACGUAUUGAAGGUACCUAAUCAGAAAGCCACGGCUAACGACGUG